rnacentral:rRNA from 1 species
CUACGGGGCGCUCCAGUGAGGAAUAUUGCACAAUGGGGGGAACCCUGAUGCAGCAACGCCGCGUGGAGGAUGACGCAUUUCGGUGUGUAAACUCCUUUUAUAUGUCAAGAAGAUGACGGUAGCAUAUGAAUAAGCACCGGCUAACUCCGUGCCAGCAGCCGCGGUAAUACGGAGGGUGCAAGCGUUACUCGGAAUCACUGGGCGUAAAGGACGCGUAGGCGGGUUGGAAAGUCAGGUGUGAAAUCCUACAGCUUAACUGUAGAACUGCACUUGAAACUUCUAAUCUAGAGUAUGGGAGGGGGAGAUGGAAUUAGUGGCGUAGGAGUAAAAUCCGUAGAUAUCACUAGGAAUACCUAAAGCGAAGGCGAUCUCCUGGAACAUUACUGACGCUAAGGCGUGAAAGCGUGGGGAGCAAACAGGAUUAGAUACCCGCGUAGUC